AGAGUGUCUCUUUUGGGGAACAGCUGGAGGUUGCAAACAUGGUCGAGAAAGAACUCGCAGCUGAGACCCAUCUCAGGAGGUGCCUGUCUCCUCCAGGGCCACUCAACACAUCCAAUACUGUGACACAGGUAGGCUAGCCUCCUUCUCCCUCUUUCCACCCUGUCUUUAGGAUCAUCUCCAGACAUCUAAGGGCAUCAUUAUCACAGAUAAGAACACAGAUGCUGGGGCUGGAGAGAUGGCGCAGAGGUUAAGAGCUGGCACUAAUCUUUCAGAGGACUGGAGUUUGGUUCCCAUCCCCAUGUUGGGCAGAUCAUGACGGCCUGUGACUACAGCUUCAGAGGGCCUAGAACCUUCUUCUGGAGACCCUGCAUGCACUGCCUUCAUGUGCUCCUUCCCCUAAGACACAGACUAAGCACACAAUCAAAAAUUAAUAACGGAAAAAAAACCCCACAGUCACUGGUUCUGUGUGGCU
ensembl:processed_transcript 1810053B23Rik RIKEN cDNA 1810053B23 gene